rnacentral:rRNA from 1 species
CGUAAUCACUUGUCUUCUAAAUAAAGACCCGUAUGAAUGGCAAGACGAGGGCUUAACUGUCUCCUUUUUCAAGUCAAUGAAAUUGAUCUUCCCGUGCAGAAGCGGGAAUCUAACCAUAAGACGAGAAGACCCUGUGGAGCUUUAGACACCAAGAUAAAUCAUGUCAAAAACCCCUAACAAAGAACUGAACUAAAUGAAACUUGUCUUAUAUGUCUUCGGUUGGGGCGACCACGGGGAAACACAAAACCCCCGCGUGGACUGGGAGCACAUCCCUCCUACAGAUAAGAGCCUCCGCUCUAAUAAACAGAACUUCUGACCAAUGAUGACCCGGCAAUGCCGAUCAACGAACCAAGUUACCCCAGGGAUAACAGCGCAAUCCUCUUUUAGAGCCCAUAUCGACAAGAGGGUUUACGACCUCGAUGUUGGAUCAGGACAUCCUAAUGGUGCAGCCGCUAUUAAGGGUUCGUUUGUUCAACGAUUAAAGUCCU